GUAGUUAUUUAUUAAGGCUUUAAUUUUUUUCCAGGCUAAAACUACAAAGAAGAUUGUGCUAAGGCUUGAGUGCGUUGAGCCCAACUGCAGAUCUAAGAGAAUGCUGGCUAUUAAAAGAUGCAAGCAUUUUGAACUGGGAGGAGAUAAGAAGAGAAAGGGCCAAGUGAUCCAGUUCUAAGUGUCAUCUUUUAUUAUGAAGACAAUAAAAUCUUGAGUUUAUGUUCAGUUCA